rnacentral:rRNA from 1 species
UGCGAGUCGAACGAGAUCUUCGGAUCUAGUGGCGCACGGGUGCGUAACGCGUGGGGAUCUACCAUAGGGUGCGGAAUAACUCAGAGAAAUUUGAGCUAAUACCGCAUAAUGUCUUCGGACCAAAGAUUUAUCGCCCUUUGAUGAGCCCGCGUAAGAUUAGCUUGUUGGUGAGGUAAAGGCUCACCAAGGCGACGAUCUUUAGCUGGUCUGAGAGGAUGAUCAGCCACACUGGGACUGAGACACGGCCCAGACUCCUACGGGAGGCAGCAGUGGGGAAUAUUGGACAAUGGGCGAAAGCCUGAUCCAGCAAUGCCGCGUGAGUGAUGAAGGCCUUAGGGUUGUAAAGCUCUUUUACCAGGGAUGAUAAUGACAGUACCUGGAGAAUAAGCUCCGGCUAACUCCGUGCCAGCAGCCGCGGUAAUACGGAGGGAGCUAGCGUUGUUCGGAAUUACUGGGCGUAAAGCGCGCGUAGCCGGUUACUCAAGUCAGAGGUGAAAGCCCGGAGCUCAACUCCGGAACUGCCUUUGAAACUAGGUGACUAGAAUCUUGGAGAGGCGAGUGGAAUUCCGAGUGUAAAGGUGAAAUUCGUAGAUAUUCCGAAGAACACCAGUGGCGAAG